CGGGCGGGGGAGUCCAGACGGCAGAACCCGCUCCGCGGGCUGGCCGACCCUGGGCGGGGCGCCGCCGGCCCGCAGCCCCGACGUUGCCUUCGGGGAGGCGGCGGACCGACGCCGUCCGAGUGGACGACGAGAGGCCCGAAGAAAGCCGCCGCACCGGCCCGGCGCCGCUGGCCUCCGUCAGUCCUCCCCGCUGCGCAGUUUACUUCCGCCGCUUUCAGCGCCGCCUCCGGCUCUCUGACCCUCCUCCUCCCCCCCUCCGUGCUCCACGGGCCCUCCAUGACCCCGACCCCUGCGCUUGGAGGCCUCACCCAGGACCCACGCCCUUGGGCCACCACAGCGUUCCCGCGGGGGCCCCUACAUCUAGAGUGCCUGCACGCUGACCCCAAGGGCCCUGGCCACAACCCCCUCCCCAGAACCGCAGGCCCAGAACUGCUGGGCCCACCCCCUUGGGAGCCCUGGAAACAGACUUCUUGAGACCCUGGCCUGCAACGGGAAAAACGGAGGGUAAGGUUCCUACAGCGCCUGCCUCCCUUCUCAUUUUAAGCAAAAAUGGGUACGUUGAAGUGGGCACAGUGCUGCUCCUUCUCAGCUGGCUUCUCCCCGUUACCAGUUCGAACAUCAAGAAAAAAAUAUUCCAUUUAAGUCGGUAUGUUUUCAGACUAUCAUUUUAUUAAAUACCGUAUCGCUUAGCUACAAUACGUUUAUCUUUAUAAAACUAAGUAAGUUUCUUUUGUAAUAAAAAUAACCUGACCUAGCCCUCCUUUGGCAGCACCGGAAACUGGGCUGGCUGAGGCUAGGCUUGUCCUCCCCUCUGAUGGCCAGCCUUCAUUUGCAGAGUACCCUGGGGGUCCACAAAACUGAGCCACCUCCACUGCCAAAUCCCUGGGGUUCCGGUGUGGCCUUGGGCAAGUCCAACGGCUGGGUCCAUCACCGCUGCUUAAAACAGCCAGGCUUAGGGGGCUUAGGACUACGAAUGUGAGGGCUCCAAGCGAGGACCCCCUCCGGCAACCACAUCUGUCAGAGCUGGGCCCGGGACUGCCCUCUCAACUGUGCCACCAGAAAUUGGGAAGAGGCACACAUCCCUUUCUGACACAGGAGGACCCUACUGGCCGGCCCUGUGCUGUGUCCCAACAAGCUUGUUGCCUGGACGUAGGACGUCGCUGUGUGUGUCUUCAGCUCAGUGCCCCCUCUAACCAGGAGUCUGAAGCUUAGCCUUUCCCUGGACUCAUGGGGGCAGCAGGAGGCAGGGAGGUGCAUGCCUCUCCAAGAGAUAGGCAACCCCACAAGCAUGCAACUAAAGAGCGGGAGUUGAGAGAAGCCAGCCCCUCACCCAGCCUCUAACAGGAAGCCCAGGAUCUCCCCCAGGCAGGGAGCAGGUAGGGGCCACCCCAUCCAGGAACAGCCACCAGAAGCCCCAGACAGUGCUCUCGCCCUGGACUUGCACCCCAGGCCUCUCUCUGCACCGUCAGACUCUCCCCCAGAUCAUCAGAGCAGCCUGGUGGGGUGCGGAGGAGACACAACACCACAAGGCCAGCAGCCAGCUUGGAGACGGGAGCCCGGAGGACAGACUGCAACCAGUUUAGAUAAACCUGGGUCUGGUACGUAACUAAGAGGCAAGUGUGCUGCAUAAAAUUAAGGCAAGUGGUUCAGGGUAGAGCCACAGGGGCAGACUCCCGGUCUCCCAGAAGACAGCUCAGGUGGCCUCAGAAUGCUCCAGAAGCAGGCCCCACACCGCACCGAAUUCUGUGUCCAGCACCUGUCCCACCUGGUGAAACAGGAAGCAAAGGAAGCAGAGGCACAGAAGCCCCAUCCCACGGUCACUGCCAGAGCUGCAGCAGAAAACCUCCUUUUUAAACAAAAACCCUCCUCCUACGUCAUGCCGGAAAAAGAACCCUCGGCUGACAACACAAACGGGCCUGCAGGCCUGGCUGCUCCUCACGGUGGCUGUGGGGUCCCCAAGGCCACUCCCUCGCCCAGCCGGCCGGCUCAGCGCACGACGCACACAUCCAGGAUGCAGAAGCGAGCACGGCAGGUGGGGCAGGGCACGCGGCUAGCGAGCCAGGUGUCAGGGCGCUGCGGGUCCUGGCGGCUGGCGAACCACUUGCCCAUGCAGGUGAGACACCACAUGGGGCGACAGUAACACUGCUGGCACUCGCCCUCGUCCGCCUCCUGGCAGGUCUUCACCAGCUUCACGCUGGCACGCGUCUGCAUGCAACCAAUGCAGGCCUCCAGCUCCUGUGGGCGGGCCCAGAGGGUCACCAGCAGUGUGGCCGCACAGCCUUGUGGGGCCACCCCCGACCCCCCGGCCCCGAGGGAGCCUGGCCUGUGGGAGUCCACCUACCCCGCCCGGCCCUCACCUGGCUGCUGGGAACCGAGUAGGUCGGAUUGACCUCCACCAGAGAAGCAAAUGUCUCCAGGAACAGGUCGCCCAGGCUCUGACGGAUGACCACGUUGGCCGCACUGCGGAUGGGCGCACGGAGUUUCUCACACAGCUCGCCAUACUCCGUGGAGUUCAGCCUGCACAAGGUGGGGACUGGUGGGCUGGGGCCGUCGAACCAAGGCCCUUCUGCAGGGCGGGGCUUCGUUCCUAAUGGGGAUGCCAAGGCGCCUCUAGGGUGACAGGGCACCCACGACCUCCCAGAACGCCAGGGGGCUCAGACACAGCCCAGCUGCCUGAUGAAGACCAGCCAGCAAAGACAGCCCUGAAGCCAGAGCCCACAAAACCAGCACCACCCACCUGCCCCAAAGGGAUGCAGCCAAGGGCAAAGAGGGACCGAGGGGGGGGUUGCAGCCGUAACACAGAACACCUGACCUUCAAUGGGGUCAGGCCCAAAGUGGGUCCCGGGAGAGGGACAGCAGACUGGCUGCAGCCUGAAUGGGAUGGGAAGACCCCAGCUUGGGCCCCAGAGCCAAGGCAGCCACCAAGCCUUGGUCCUGUACCACCCCCAAAUGUCCCCAGUGUGCUCCCCCGAAAAGAGCUGUGGAAGGCGGCUCAGAGUGCAUGGAAAAAGCAGCAGAGAAUACCUGGGAGCGCGAGGGGGCGAGGCGCCCGGAGGGAGGGUCCCGCUGGAGCGGUGGCCAGAAGAGCCCGCUCUAUCCGUCAUGGCCUCCCAGAGAGGCGCUAGACUGGAACCCGGGCACCGGCCGCCUCUGGCUGCACCAGACUUUCACCCUAGCCACAGGCACACCUACCGGAUGUCGAAGGCCUGCACAGCAGGGCUGGUGCUGGCCACGUGGAUGGUAAGGAGCUGCACAGGCAGGUUGGAGUCUGGUGAGAGCUCGUGCUGCUGCGAUUCUGUCACGGUCAGGUGCACAUCCUGCUGCUGAGCCACGUGCACACGGUAUGUGGUCACCUUCAUCACCCACGUGUCCGUCACAAUCACGCGAGCACCAGGUGCCCCUGUGGCAAACUUGUCGAUCCGCCGGAACUCGGUGUUGACGGAGGAGGCGACGGCCCACCAGCCUGACUGCGGGAGGGCAUAGAGGGCCAGGGUGCGGGCCAGUGGGUGGCAGGCCCACCGAUCCCAGGACCAGUAGUAGAUCAGGGUGCAGGCAACGGUGGGCAGGGUCACUGCCAGCAGGAGGAAGAGCCGCCAGGUCUCCGGGGCCUGGCUGGGGGAGUAGAGUUGCUUUUCUGAAGCUGCAAAGCACAUGCCCACGUAGUACCCUACAAAGGAUGGGGAGGGUCUCAGCAGAAAUCGGGACUGCCAAGCCAUUGUUCUCCCCUCCCAGUGCCCACCAAGGGCCACAGUGCUGUCCCUGUACCUCCAGGGGGGAGGGGUGCUUCCCCUCAGCCCCAGCCCCGGGCCUGGCCCUCUGCCCUGUCGGCUCCCACAGCCAGGCCAUGGCACCCCAGGGCAGGCGAGCCUUACCUGCCUCCACGGCUGGCCCAGUUCAACCCUUGCCCACGACAACGGUAAAAUAAACGAGGAAAACACGUUUUUAA